ACACGUAGGGGCCUGACGUUGUUCGGAAUCAUUGGGCGUAAAGGGCGCGCAGGCGGCCGUCCAAGUCCGGUGUUAAAUGGUCGGGCUCAACCCGAUCAUGCGCUGGAAACUGGGCGGCUGGAGUCCCGGAGGGGAUGCCGGAAUUCCAGGGGUAGGGGUGAAAUCUGUAGAUAUCUGGAAGAACACCGAUGGCGAAGGCAGGCAUCUGGCCGGAGACUGACGCUGAGGCGCGAAGGCGCGGGGAGCGAACAGGUUUAGAUACCCUGGUAGUCCGCGCAGUAAACGAUGCGCACCAGGUGUCGGGCGGCAGCGCCCGGUACCGGAGCAAACGCGAUGAGUGCGCCGCCUGGGGAGUAUGCCCGCAAGGGUGAAACUCAAAUGAAUUGACGGGG
rnacentral:rRNA from 1 species